rnacentral:lncRNA from 1 species
CAAACAUAAUCCAACACACAGAGCUGCCUUUGUAGAAUUAGUAACAAACAGUGGAAGGGCCAGACAGGCGCCCCAGAAGAGCUCCCCAUGACAACUGGGAAACCUCCUCACCCCCAGGGUUGAGCUGACUCCACUGAGCUGGGGUUGGAGAACCCCAGCUCUCACAUCUGAAUCUACAACAAGCCUCAAGUGCCUGCCCUCAACCUCACUAGAAGCUAUUCGGAGGGCAUUCGGCUCUCCAUAACAGCAAGUUAGAAGCAAGCAUUCUCCAUACUGACAACAGCCAUACUCUGCCUCAUGGCACAUGCCUUUUGAAAUGCAACACUGCAAAUCUCCAAAUCACAUGAACAGCAUUUACACCUGUACCUAACCAUCUCAGCUGUGAGCUGGUAGGACCACCUCUCGUCUUUAGAAAAUAAUUUCUUUUUGCAAAUUAUAGGCUGAUCCCGGCAUUCUGAAACAUGUAAAUAUAACACUGUAUUCAUCUCCACUGAGCAUUUAGCAUCUGAAGCCUGUGGUAGCCAGCUGGUCUCAAAGUCAUCUGGGAUACAUUUAUUUUGAUUAAAUUGAUCAGAUUUCUAUUUACAGGAUAGAAUCUUUUGCCAUUACUGAAUACAGCUGUGUUUACAGGGAUUUGUAGAAGAAGAAAACAAAACCCCACAAUCGGUCCUAGCAAAGCACAGAGCAUUCAGAACUGGAAGGAGUUAAAACAGAGGGGGCUUGCUUUCACAGUAAAAAGAAAAUUCUGCAUGCAGCUGCUUUGGCCAUGCUGUCUCACUAGUCAGGAAAUGGGUGUUGAACUGGAGCUGAAAACACAAGCUGCAAUCAAGCCCGAUCCAGCAAAGUGACAGACUUCCUGUGUAAAAUGGUCAGAAACCUUUUUUCAUGUCUCUACAUGCAUGCACAUGCAUUUAAAUCCAUGCUGCGAGGCUGCGAUUUUCUCUGGGGACACUGGUACAGUCAUCUAGCCCAUCAGUUCCUUCGUCGACAGCGCCGGGGACAUCCAGACUACAAUUUACAGUUCCUCUAUCCAUGUGCUGGGUUAUAAAUUAUGCCAUCCUCCCUAGAAUGAGAAUGCACAGCAAGCGGCAGACAAUCACCCGGCAUUCGGCAUCUCUUUCUUUUCACGCGCUCCCUCGCUCCGCCUUUCUCCAGCUCUGCCUUCUCAGGCAGAUACAUCAGAUACCUUGUUUAUCCAUCUUCAGCUCCACUCUGAGGUAAAAUGCCACCACAUCUCGCCAUGGGUUGUCCCCCCAGACUAAAUCCCUGGGAACAGCCUGAGCUGGGUGCACGCGGCGGAGGCGACGGCUGCCCUUGCCCUGUGGAGCACGGGUGGGCAUUGGAUGUAAGGGCGCAGACGCACGAUUCCGGGAUCGGGUGCACCUUGGCGAAGCCCAGGCGGGAGACGGCAGGAGCAGCUCAGGUAACCAGGGGAAGCUUGGCGUGCCCACGGAGAUGCAGCCCUGGAGCUGUGAGGAAAG